rnacentral:lncRNA from 1 species
UUCCUUUAAAGAUAGGGUUUCCACCAUUGUUGUAAGGCACACCAAGGAAGAAAGAGAUAAAAUAUGGCACCCAUUUCAUUACCUAACAAGCCCCAUGCAGUAUGCAUCCCCUUCCCGGCACAAGGUCACGUAAACCCGAUGCUCAAAGUGGCCAAACUCCUCCAUUUCAAAGGCUUCCGCAUCACUUUCGUCAACACCGAGUACAACCACAAACGCUUGCUCAAAUCCAGGGGCCCCCACGCCCUCGACGGCUUGCCUGACUUCCGGUUCGAGACAAUCCCCGACGGCCUUCCUCCGCCCGACAUCGACGCCACGCAAGACAUCCCCGCGCUUUGUGACUCCACUAGCAAGCAUUGUUUGGCUCCCUUUCGCCGACUCCUUGUUGAGCUAAAUGUUAAUUCCGGUGUCCCUCCGGUCACUUGUAUCGUCGCUGAUGGGAGCAUGUCGUUCACUCUCGAGGCGGCUAAAGAGUUAGGGAUUCCCAGUGUGUUGCUUUGGACACCCAGUGCUUGUGGUUUCUUGGCUUAUUGCCAUUUCCGACGGCUUAUUGAUGAGGGUUUUACACCAUUGAAAGGUACAAAACUCUGGUUUUUCUUUCAAACUUUUUGGUUAAAUUUGGCUAUUGUCCCUCUACUAUGCUAUAAAUUUAAGAUUUAAUCCUUAUAGUUUAAUUUCAGAUAUUUGAUUUAUUGUUAUUAAUUAGUACAUCUAAUUAAUAAAAUUAGAUUUUUCUUGAGUAAAAUGUUUUAAAAGAUGUAAGCAUGUUUUAGGCUGAAAUUUGAAUUUUUUUUUCCAUUAUUUCUAAUAUUUUUAAUUAAAAAAACCUUUAAUCCUUUUAUUUUUAUGCAUAUUUAUUAUCAGUUGACUGAUUCACUCAAUUUUCAUAUGGAAUUAAUUUUGUGGCAGAAUAACAGUGACAAAAAUUCACUUAAUCACUUUUAACAACUAAAAUUGUGACAAAUAAAAAUAAAAAAAUUAAUUAUUUUUCUUCUUAAAAUGCAUCCUUAAGCAUUCAUUUUUAAAAGUAUUCCACAUCAGUAUUUAAGUGAAAUGAUGAUGUUAAUAAUUUCAACUAAUUAAUAAUAUUAUAAAAAAUAAAAAACAAAAUUAUAUCAAAUUACAGGAGUAAAUAUCGAAUAUUAGCAUAGUAAAAGGACUGAAUUCUGAAUUUGACCCCUAACAAUUUCUUCAUCAUUGGGCAGAUGAAUCCUAUUUGACAAACGGGUAUUUGGAUACCGUCAUUGACUGGAUCCCGGGCAUGAAAAACAUCCGUAUAAGGGACCUUCCAAGCUUUGUUCGAACAACGAAUCCAGACGAUAUAAUGUUGAAUUUCUUUGCGACGGAGUGCGACAGAGCUUCCAAAGCUUCCGCCAUUAUCGUAAACACCUUCGAUGAAUUGGAACAUGAUGUCGUCAAAGCUCUCUCCUCUAUCUUCUCUAAAUUUUACACUAUUGGACCCCUUCACUUGCUCCUCAACCACAUCCCACCGUCGUCGCCUUUAAGCUCCAUGGAGUCCAACCUGUGGAAAGAAGAGCAUCGAUGUUUGCAAUGGCUGGAUUUAAAAGAACCCAAAUCGGUCGUUUACGUUAAUUUCGGGAGCAUAACGGUGAUGACGGUGAAUCAAAUGGUUGAAUUCGCUUGGGGUUUGGCUAAUAGUAAAAAACCUUUUUUGUGGAUCAUUAGACCCUAUUUGGUACGGGGGGAUUCCGCCAUUUUUCCGCCGGAGUUCAUCGAGGAAACUAAAGACCGGUGUUUCAUGGCGAGCUGGUGCCCGCAAAAGGAAGUACUGAACCAUAACGCGGUGGCCGGGUUCUUGACGCACAGCGGGUGGAAUUCGACGGUGGAAAGCAUUUCGAGUGGGGUGGCGAUGGUUUCUUGGCCGUUCUUCGCGGAGCAAAAAACGAAUUGUUGGUUCGCUUGUAAUGAAUGGGGUAUCGGCAUGGAAAUCGACAACGAUGUGAAGAGGGAGAAAGUGGAAAAGCUGGUGAGGGAGCUGAUGGAAGGAAGGAAAGGGGAGGAGAUGAGGGAAAACGCCAUGGAAUGGAAGAGAAAAGCUGAAAAAGCUGCGUGUUUGGAUGGACCGUCCUUGUUGAAUCUGGACAGGUUGAUUAAUGAAGUCUUGCUCGAAGGACAUGAAUGAUCAACUUUAUUUUAAAAAAAUAAAACACCUUCACGUUUAUAGGUUUGAGUUCUUAAUUAUUAUUUUUUUAUCGACACACUCAACAUUACGAUUAUUUAAAAAUUAGUUCAGUUUUAACGGAAAAUGUGAGUUAACUGUUAAUUAAACCGUAAGUCAACUAAAUAAUCUAUUUGGCGUGCCACAUAAGUCCGAGGUAACGUCAUUUAUAAACUAAAUUGUUUAACAAUUUUUUUUUCAUUUUGUUUCAAUCUUCUCUUUCUCUCUUCCCCUCUAACUAUUGUCAUCGUUGUGUCCAACACCCACCAUCAUCGCCUUCCCUCUUACUUCUCAUUAUUUCAACCCCUACCAUCUCUCCCUUUCCUCUUACUCCUCACGUUUGUAAAAAGAGGACUCAACGUUGUAAAAAGUAAAAAGAGGACACAUUAUUGUAGCCCAUUUUAGGGUUUUAUUUUUUUAAUUAAUAAAAAAAACUAGAAAAAUCAAACGUUACUUUGUUUGGUUUAGGUUUGCUUGCUUUUGGUAUAUUUGAUACCCUUCUUUGCUUUUCAAUUCAUCUACCCAUUUAUUGAUUCACCUUCUCUAAUUUUACUUACCUUUCUAGGGUUAUUAGUUGUUGUUUUUCUCAAAUGGAUUGGCCCUCUUUUCAUGGAUAAGGUCAGUACCUUUUUUUAUCCCAGUUUCAUGCCUUUGUUACAUUGCUCUAUUUAUGAUCUAUGUGGAUUGUUAAUGGUUAGGUUUAUUCUGGGUUUUUUUCUCUUUUCUUCAAAUUUUUUCAAUAGGAUGAAAGAUAGUUGCACGCGCAAAAAGAUUGUUCCGAUGGCAGUUAAUAAGGCAAGGGAAGUGAAAGGGUUUCCCGAUAGGUAGAAGAUGAUAAUUUCGAAACUGGAGCGAAUCCUUUCGUGCUUAUCGGAAUUGUCGACCCAUACUUGCUUUUCAAAAAAAAUGCUCUUUGUAAGGAACAAUUGUAGAUUGUUUCGAAGACAUUGAAGGAAGUGAUUGAAUUAGUGAAUUUAUGCUUGAAAGAGAAGUGUUAAACAAAAUGAAAAAAAAAGUGUUAAACAAUUUUGUUUAUAGAUGAUGUCACCUCGUGCUUAUGUGGCAUGCCACAUAAGCUACUUAAUUGACCUGCGAUUUGAUUGGCGAUCAACUCAUGUUUCUCGUAACGUUGAAGGUGUCAAUUCAAAUAAAAAAAGAUUAAGGGCUCAAACCCAAGAACCCAUAAAUGUUGAGGGUAUUUUCGAAAACUAUGCCAAAAAAACAGCAAUGGGUAUGAUAUUUCAAAUAUUUUUAUAUGUUUAUAUGUGAGAUAUUUCAAAUACACAUACAAAAAUAAAUAAAACUAAUUAAUAUUUACUACUCAUGAUAUGAAUUGAAAAAUAAAUAUUACACACAUAAAAAUUAUGUUUCCUAAAAAUAAUUAUAUUUGUAAUAAAUAUUUAAUUUUAUAAAUAAAAAAUUAUUAAUUAAAUAGAUGAAUUAAAAAUAAUAAAAAAACUUGAAAACAAUAUAUCUAUUAAUUAAAAACAUUAAUUAAAAAAACUUGAUACAACAUAAAAUUUAAAAAUAUAUAUUAAUAUGCUUAUAAAAAUAAUCGAAUCUGAGACUUAAGGAUGUAAUUGUAAUUAUCUAACAGAAUAGCUAAUAUAUAUGUUAAAAAUAUUAAUUAAAAAUAGAAAAGCUUGAAACAACAUGAAAUAAAAAAUAUAAAAACGAGUAGGAGAGGAAUUGAAUCGAGACUCAAUGAUAAAAUCACUAACAUUUAACCAUCUGACUGAGUCAGUCAGAAAGUACCUCCUUUAGAAAUUUCUAGCACAAACAUUUCUAGCUUUUUAGAAAUUUACAUAACAACUCCUUUAAAAUGAACUUUAUUACAUUAAACCCCAUAAAAAUUUAAAUUUUGCCCCCAAACCUCCCAAAAAAACCACCAACCUCUUUUAAAGUUUGCCCCAUAAGUUGUAUUUUUGGAUCCACAACUGACUAGACAUGGUUUUAAUUAAAAACACGUCUAAUUGGGCAUGUUUUCACCUUCUCUCUAAAAUCGAUGUAUUGCGUUAAAUAUGCCAAAAUCGACCUAAACUACCAAAAAAAAAGAAAUUCGAACUUUUUUGACUAAUUUAACAGUAGUUUAAACUUUAAUGUUUUCGUUAAUUGUUUUAUUUAUUUUAAUUUUCAUAUUAUUUUUUUCUUUCACCAAUUACAUAAAUGGUUAUAGUUUCAUUUGGUUUAUAUAUAUAUAUAUAUAUAUAUAUAUUUCGGUGGCAGAUGGAUUAAACAAACUAAUCCUACUUCAAACUAUUGAAUUUUUAUGUCCUAUGUGAUAUUUUUUAUUUUAAUUUUCAUAACAUUUUUUUCUUUCACCAAUUAUAUAAAUGGUUAUAGUUUCAUCUGGUUAUCCUAGUUCAAAUUAUAUUUUUUUCAUAAUCUACCUGUGAUUCCUUCUUUGCAAGAAUUGUUGCAUGUGUACAACCAGUGACACAGUAUCAUUGUGCAUGUUAUUGCUACUUGAGACCUGUAAGUAAAUUUUUCAAUCACCACUUAAAAAAAUGUUACACAUACUAAAACACAAAACGAAAAUUAAUGCUUUAAAAGCAAUAUUAUGCGAAACAACUUGAGAAUUGCAAAACUAAGGACCUAAUUGGUGAUAUAUUGGAAAGCAAUUAGCAUCUCAUCAAGUUAGUAUAGAACUUCAAAAUAGGCUAGCCCCUCCACUUACACUUUAAGCUUCAUUCCAAGCUCAUGAAGAAAAUAACAAUAUGACUUUGCAACUACUCCUUUCUUCUAAGGUCGAUUCCAUCCUUCCUAGAUGGAGAAUGGUUCUCAAUUACUUCUCGGCUGAAGUCCCAUUUGCGCAUAGAUGAAUACAGCUACUCUGGUUCUUAAAAUUUAGGGUAAAUUACACCAACAGUCACCUAACUUUGGGGUAGCUGACAAAACAGUCACCUAGGUUUCAUUUCAGUCACUCAACUUUCAAAAAGUUACAAAACAGUCCCUUUAAACGUUUUCCAUCACAGACAUCACGGAAAAACGACAUGGCAGGUGACGGGGUCUAACAUUUUCUUCUUCCCUAAACCCGUUUCUCCCUCCCUCAUUCUAUUUCUUCUUCCUUUAAAGAAAUCCCUGUAAUUUUCUUCUACCCUAAACCCCACAAAUUUCUUCUUACUUUGAAGACAAAACAAAUGCAAUCCCUGUAAUUUACCUUUCCCUUCUUUUAUUUUUGCUUUUCAAAUUAAAGUUCUGAGUUUCAUUUCUCUCACAAUCCCUCCCAAACUCUCUCCAAUUGCAGUAUACAAUACUUGUUGUAUACUUGUAAGUUGUAACGAGAAAAUAGGCAAUUCAAGCUUUUGCAAAGAUAAAAUUUAAUAUGGAAAUUAAGACUAAAAAUCUCAAUGAAUGGUGCAUGCAUUCAAACUUAUAGCAGAGGAAAACACAGUGAAAGAAAGGACAAAUUUCAAGCUUUUAAUAGGAAAAUUUUUUAAAUGGCUAGUAAAUGACCAUCAAGUUCUAAUCCUGGGAUGCUAAUCAAGCAGCCGACAACUUGGCCAAAUCUUGAAUAGGAAGAUUGUCUCACUCGCUUCUGCCAAAUUCAACUUAAUGCUUUAGGUUAUGCUUUCGUUCUUCGUUUUUACUUAAGCUUUCCAACAGAGAAAAAAAAAUAGAAGAAGAAGAGGAGGACGAAAAGAAGAAGAAGAAGGUUUAAUGGUUAAUAUGUUGUGCACCUAGAACAAAAAUUUCCCUCUUUUCAAGCUCAAGUUCUUUGUUUCUCCUUAUUUUUUUAAUAACUUUCAAUUCAAUAUUUUUAAUAUCUUCAAGACUGUUCUUAACCAAAGCAUCUCCAAUAGAGGUUUCAAUGGCUAUAAAUCCGGAUAAAUGCUCUUCAAGCAAAAUUAUCUGCCCCUUUUAUCUGGCUACCAUUGCUAUUUUUCCAUUACAAUUCCUCUAUCAACUGCUUUUCCAUGUCUAGCUACUUUAUUUCCAUGUUACCCUGCCUUAUAAUUUCUUGAAGAUCUUUUAUCUCAGCCUUAAGUGCAGAAAUUAUGAAAUUGAGCUUGCCAAUUUUUGCAGUUUUGUCAGUUAAAUCCUUCUGCAAAUAAGCAAUGCAUGACAACUUCUCUUUUAGACUAUGCAACUCAAGUAGUUUCCUUUCAAAGGUUAAUCUCCUGCUCUCCAACUCCUUAAUGGGACUCUGUGAAUGUUCUAUUUCUGUAUUUGGGUACAAAUUCUUUAUGUUAACCACCUCAGUCCCCUCCUCAUUUUGCAUGUCCUCUUCCUGCAAGAACUUUAUUUUUUCAUUAGACUUAUGUAUAAGAGUGAAAAAUAUUGAAAGGGAUAAGAUGAAGUACUGAAAAUUAAAGAAAUGGAGGAGGGAAACGAUGGAGGAAGAAAAGUGGUGAUUAAUGUUGCCGGUGAAAGGCCAAAAGGGUCUUCUCUAAAAGAAGCAGAGGCAUUGAACCCUAAGCAAAAUUCUCAAGGUGCACCCAACAAAGCUUCGACUGAAUCUGGUGCUGUUCUGCAAGUAAGCCACCAAAAGCCCCAGUUGCAUAACCAUGAAGGUUUUCAGAAGGUACUAUCCUUUGGUGUUAAUAAUCAUUUCAACCAACUCAGCAGCAGCAACAGAAGAAGAAGAAGAAGAAGAAGAAGAAUGAAGCCACUUCACCAACGUGGCAAGUUAACUUGCCACAUCAGCUGGUUAACUUACCACGUCAGCAAUCCCGUUAACACCUUAAUGGUAACUGUUAAUCAAUGACUAUUUUGUCACUUUUUUAUAACGUUAGUGACUGUUUUGUAACUUUUCAAAAGUUAAAUGAUUGAAAUGAUCCCGAGGUGACUGUUUUGUCAGCUACCCCAAAGUUGAGUGACUGCUGGUGUAAUUUACCCUAAAAUUUAAUAACAGGUUUCAAAAACCCAAAAAAGCACUACAAGAAAACUGACUUUUAGCGGCGUUUUUUUUAACCUUUAGCAGCGCUUUUAAGUGCCGCAAAAACUAUUAGCGGCGUUUUUCCAAGCGCCGCAAAAAACACCGCUAAAGGUAACGCCGCAAAAUUUAGCAACGUUUAUCUGAACCACAAAAGAUCAAGACUUUUAACAACGUUUGUGGGAAAAGCGCUGCUAAAAGUCAUGGCUUUUAGUGGCCUUUUUUUUACAAACGCCGUUAAUUUUGGCAGAUUUGAAAUGUACAUUUUUCACCAAUAUCCAACCCUUCCUGCAUUAAAUCCAACCAAAAACAGCAAAUAUAGCAUGAAAUCCAACCAAAAAUAGCAAAUGUAGUAUAAAAAUACAAUAAAAAACAUUAAAUCUAAAUGAUACUUCAAAUUCAACGAAAGAUCUAUGAUGUAAAUUAAUAAAUUAGGUAUAACUCAAAACGUUCUUACAAUAAUGUUAAAUGUGACAAUGUUAAAAACGUUCUUACAAAGAGAAAACUAAUGUCUAAUAUGGCGACUUUUGCGACUGCUGAAACAUCUACAUCAUUUGCUGAAGCUGUAGCUGGAGCUCAUCGUACUUUCUGCUCUGCUCUACUGCCAUCGCUGCUGCCGCUGCCUCCCUCACUGCUGUCGCUGCCUCUGCCUCCCUCUCUGCUGCCUCUGUUCUAAGUUGUUGCUGAAGUUCUUCAUAUUUUCUUUGAACCUCGGCAAUUUGCUCAACUGUACUCGCUUGCAUCUGAGCUAUCUGGUCUCUUAACCUCUGAACUUCAGCUUGAGCUUGACUCCCAGAAGGCAUGUAUUGCUGGGAGCCGGAUCCAAAAUAUUAGGUCGGGGUAACACCAGAUCCUUGAAAUUAAACCCGACCGUACCUUUCAGGACCCAAAACUUCAGUGAUAAUUCUGUUAUCAAUGUUCUCAAGAUUAACAGAAUUAUCAGUCGAAGCAAUCGCUUCGUACUCCGCCUUCUUCUCCUUUAGUUUCUCCUAAUAAAUCAAUUAAAGAGUUAGAAACGAAAUAUAUAAUAAAAAGGAGAGCAACAUAACUUAACAUUAUUUAAAACUACUAAAGACAAAUUAAACCAUUAUAAUUAAACAUUAUAAAUAUUAAUAAUAAAUCAAAUUUUAUUAAGUAAAUAUACCAUAAUUUCUCCAGCUUCGGAUGUCAUAGGAGAUCCAUCUUUCUUUCUAUGCAUAAUCUCAAAAAGCUGAAGGCCACCAACUUUUUGACCUGACGAGACUUCCUACAAUAUAGUAGUAAAAAUAUUAUUUAAUAGUAGAAAGUUAUUAAUAUUUGACAGAAUUAAUAAAUUUAUAAUACCUCAGCCUCAGCUACAGAAGCAAAACUUCUCGACCCUGCCAUGUGCGUGAAUUUUUGUUUUUGGCUGCUAUUUGUUCCAACUCGCUCACGGUCCUACAUAAUGAAAUUAUUAUUACGUAUAUAGUAAACACUAUAUAUAAGAGUUUAGAAAUACGUAAUACCUCUCCUUUCUUGGAAUUCCAGAAUCUAACCGCAUCUUCCCAUUAGUACCUCAGCAUUCUCGGCGAGACAUUUCUCAAUUUUUCCUUGAGGCUUAUGUCUUUCUUAAAAUAUAGUUUUUUCAAAAUUCUUUUAUGGUUUCUCCAUUUUUUACCCAAUGCCUUCUUGAUAUAGUCAUCGGAGACCUCUAAAGCAAAUCUCUCCUAAAAAAACACAAGUUUAGAAUGUAAAUAUAAAUAAAAGUUAAACCAAAGUAUUAUAAAUUACUUUUAACGUUUUGUUACCUUAAUAUUAUCGAGAGCCUGAUUUUUGUUGCUAUCAGACAUGUGAUGCCAUGAUUCGUAGUUGAUGGGCAACAUAUUAGCAUUCUGUGCUAUAAUGUUCAAAUAGCCUGCUAAAAGUCGAGCUUUAGAUCCAACAGGCUGACCAUGACUGUUUCUACUUACUUUGACACGCUUGACAGGAUUUAAUUCGUAUAAAUAUUUAAGUAGCGUACGUCCUCGACCUCUGCGCGUCCCACCACUUUCAGCUGAAAAACGAUAUAUUAUUAUAUUAAAAUUGAAAAAUAAAUCAAUAAUAAAAGUCAACACACAUGUAAAAUAAACUUAACAUUACUUUGAAUUUUUGCAGGCUCAUCAAGUGUCUCUGGCACAUUCGAAGAUCCAACAACUGUCUGCUGUUCACUAUUUUCUUCUUCCGAAUUUGGAGUAUUCUGGACAAUACCUAAAUCUCGUAAUCUUCUUCUACGCAUUUUUCCUACAAUACACAUAAAAUGAUUUAAAUUUUAGUAACAAAUUACGACAAUAAUAGUACAUGUAAAAUAGUUAAAUUAUAUAACAUCACCAAGAUUAAAAUUAUAAUAUUACAUAUAAUUAAAAAAAUUAUAAAAUCUUACUACAUCAUUAUUCGUAAAUAUCUUCAUCCACAUCAUGUCGAACCCAGAUUUUGUGUACUAGUACUAGGGAUAUUUUCAUCUAAGUUUUGUUCUGGAAAAGGUAAUGUUUCUGAUUUUUCGACGAUGUCAUCUCUACUUCCAUUACCCAUGUCAAACAAGUCUCUAGAGACAUUUCGGAGUACAACAUACCAACCCUCAUCAGUUGGAUCUUUCGAAUAAAAAACUUGUUUCACUUGAGAUGAAAAUACAUAUGGCUCACCCAUCAAUUGUUGUCUAGUGUGAAUCAAGCGAGAGAAAUUAACCAUUGUAAAACCAAAUUGAUCUUUUUUAAUUCCGCAAGCAGUAUUAACAUCAGCCCAAUCACACUGAAAUAAGACAACUUUCCAUCUGCCAUAAUAAUCCAACUCAAUAAUGUCGGUAAGAAGUCCGUAAUACUCCACAUUACCCUCAAUCGGAUUACUAUCCCUAGCACUAGCAUAACUUGUAAUUAAAGAAUUAACAACAAUUCCACAAUUUUGAGUUCUCCUCAUUCUCUCGCGAUAUUUUGUAUGAAAUCUGUAUCCAUUGAUGAGGAAGGCACUAUAUCUUUUUAUUACUCUGUUCGGACCUUGGGAAAGCCAUUUAACUUCGUCAUUAACGUCCUUCCCACUCCAAACCUAUUGAAUCGAAAGUAAAUUGAGUAAUUAUAAAUGUAUUAUGUAAAAACGUUCUUAUUUGAUUAACUAAAUUUCGCGAUUAUAUGUAACUUAUUAACUUCAGUUACAUACCGUUUGACUUAACCAUCCAUGAAAAGAUUUUGUGAAUAACUUAUUAAUCUCUCGAUGUUGUAAUCUUCAAGAACGUGCACGGGAUCUCAAAAUUUGUUUGUACUCACUAUGUUAAAAACAAGUUUAACUGGUUAGAAGAUAAACAAAUCAAAACGAUGAAUAUGUGAGGAAAUUUUAGAACUUACUUGCGUAAUGGUUCAAUUGAAUCGUGAUGAAAAAGUACAUAUCGGUAUGCUUGUAUCCACGAUAUAUCAUCUAAUUCUGCAGUUUCAACUUUGCCGAUUGGUUCUCCAUAACUUUGGAAUAAAUAAGUUUCGGCCAAGUUAUGAUCAUUGAUCCCAGCAUUUCUACUUGGUCUAUUCAAUCGUGUUUCAACAUCUUCUAAAUAUCUAAAACAAAAGGUCAUGCAUUCCUCUGCCAAGUAGCCUUCAGCAAUUGAUCCUUUUGGAUAACGCUUAUUGCGACAAUAAGACUUCAAUUUGCUUAGAAACCUAAACACGAUAUACAAUAUUUAUCAAAAACUGUAACUAAAUGAAAAGAGGUGAAUGAAUGAAUAAUUGACAAAUAAAUUAGCACCUUUCUAUAGGAUACAUCCAUCGAUAAAAAAUAGGUCCACCAAGUAUUGCUUCGUGAGGGAGAUGGAUUACCAAAUGCACCAUAAUAGUGAAGAAGGAAGGUGGAAAAAUCUUCUCCAAGUUGCAUAAAGUCAAAGCAGCUCGAUCAUGUACUUUCUCAAGUUCUUCAACAUCCAAAACUUUACCACAAAUAGUUUUCAUUAUAUUGGAUAGUUCAAUUAUAUAGGACGUCACAUUUUUUUACAUACAGCACCGUAAAGCAAAUGGGAGUAAAUCUUGCAUCAAGAUGUGGUAAUCAUGUGAUUUUAAUGAAUAUAAUCUUCGAACUUUAAGACUCACACAUCGAGAUAUAUUUGACGCAUACGCAUCUAGGACCUUUCUAUCCUUCAACACCAUGCAGAACACUUCUUUCUCUUUCUUUGACAUUGAAAAAAUAGAAUGUGGCAAUCGAUAUUUCCCAUUCGGAAGUACUUGAGGAUGAAGAUCACGCCGAAUUCUCAUGUCAACUAAAUCAAGUCGACUCUAAAGAUUGUCUUUUGAUUUUCCAUCGACAUUCAAAAUUGUCCCAAUUAUGUUCUCGCAGACAUUCUUCUCAAUAUGCAUGACAUCAAGAUUGUGGCGUAAAAUGUUGUGUUCCCAAUAAGGCAACUCAAAAAAAUACUCAUUUUUUUCCACAAGUCCGCCUCAUUAGGAUCAUCUUCUUCGUCAUAUUCAUCAUCAAAUUCAUCUCUCGAUCUUCUCUUUGUUUGCGUGUUAAGUGGUUGAUUCAUCUUCCCAUAACUAAAAUUGAUAUCUUUUAACAUAAACAAGAUUUCGGAUCCAACGGUUUACUCAGGAGCUCCUCUGUACUCUUUAGUACAGUCAAAUAGAGUUCUCUGAAAUCUAAAUUUAUUAUUUCCAUCUAACCACCGACGAUGGCCCAUGUAAGAGAACUUCUUCCCAUUAUACAACCACUUCGAACAAGUUUGUGUAGCACAACAAGGACAGGCAUAACGUCCUUUAGUACUCCAACCCGAUAAAUUAGCAUAAGCUGGGAAAUCAUUAAUUGUCCACAACAAAGCUACACGUAAAUUAAACUUCUCCUUUCUCAAUACAUCAUAUGUCUCAACACCCGACCAUAACUAUUUUAACUCUUCAAUAAGUGGCUGCAAAUAGAUGUCUAUAUCAUUUCCGGGACCUUUCUCUCGAGAGAUAAUCAUUGAUAAAAUAAAUGAUGAUUGCUUCAUGCAAAUCCAUGGAGGCAAAUUGUAAGGAACAAGCACUACAGGCCAAGUACUGUACGAAAUACUCAUGGUUUUAAAAGGAUUAAAGUUGUCAGCUGCUAGCCUAAGCCUCACAUUUCGAGGAUCGCUUGCAAAACUCAGAAAUUUACUGUCAAAUGAUUUCCAAGCUAAAGAAUCAGCAGGAUGCCUUAAUAAUCCAUCAUCGGUUCGUUGAUCAUUAUGCCACCUCAUAGAAUCGGCCGUCUUUGACGACAUGAAAAGCCUUUGAAGUCUUGGUAUUAGGGGAAAAUAUCGCAAAACCUUGACUAGCUUCUUUCUUAACUAUGCCCCACCUUCAUCCGCAUUCACAUUUUCUAUAUUCCCAUUCAUCCAACUAGACUUACCACAAACAUGACAAGACUGUUGGUUCUUCUGAUCACCCCAGUACAACAUGCAGUCAUUUGGACAACUAUGAAUUUUAUCGUACCGAAGGCCCAAAUCUUUUAUUAGUCUCUUCAUAUCUUGACAAGACUGGAGGAUUUUUGCAAACAGAAACAUCUCUCUCGGAAACUCUAGCAGCAUUGUAAAAAAGUUUCCGGUCCAUCCUUCCAAACAUUUUAAGUGAAAUAGAAGAAUGCAGAAGGACAAUUUUGAAUAUUUUGAUCCCUCGUAAAGUUCUUUGUUCAUUUCAUUAAGUAAAUUGUAGAACUUCGCCGCUUCUUCAUUUGGCUCCUCAUUAGGUGCACUUGUUCCCGUUUCGCAGAAAACAUUUCCACCAAUAUCACAAUCAUCGGAUGUAAUAAAGUCAGGUGGAAACGAUUGUUCGCCAUGAAUGUACAUAUUAAAUGCAUCCCGCAACAUACCUUCCAUGUCGUCUUGUCUAACAUACUAGUGGUAAUCAGUAUCAGGAUAAGUCAGAUUAAUCGUUGAAGAAGUUCCACUAGAUGUACACUCUCCAUGGAAAAUCUAUUUUUUAUACCCCGAAUAAAGCCAUCCACAAUUAGAUGUUCGUAGACAACUUCACGAAAAUGCCAAUUGAUGUUGCCACACUUCUUACACAGGUAAAGAAUCAUAUUCUCUUGGCUUGCAUUUUGAAAUGCAAAAUUUAGAAAAGUUUGUACUCCAUUUCAAUAGGCGUUGCUGACUCUUGACAAUUUCAUCCAACUCCUAUCCAUUUUGUAGUUCUUAAAGUCUAAACUUGACAAUAAAUUACACGAGUAAGUUGUUAAUUUAUAAGUAUAAUUAAAUUAUGUAAGUUAUGAUAUGAUAUCUACUUAUGUAUUAUGUAAGUUAUAUAAGUUAUGUAAGUUAUGUAAGUUAUGUAAGUUUCGUGAGUUGUGUAAGUUCAAGUAUAUAUUUUACGUACUAGUGAUUUAUUCAAGUAUAUAUAUUUUUAAAAUCUUAUAAAUUUUGCACAUUAAUAAUUUAUACAAUAUAAAUUCUUAUAUAUUUAAAUAAAUUAAUCCAAAUUAUAUUAAUUAAAUAAUAUUUAAAUAAAUUAAUCCAAAUUAUAUUAAUUAAAAUAACAUGUCUUUUCCUUUAAUAUAGACAUGUCUUUUGCUUUUAUUAAUCCAAAUUUAUGUUUUACAAGUCAUCUUUUCUUAAGUACAUGUUAAAGCAUAGUGUGGACAUCCGUAUUUAGCUUGAAAGUUAUGAUUUAUUUUGAAUAAAAAGUUUAACUUAAAUGAUAAAACGAACGAUAAUAUUUGUGAUAAAACGUAUGAGAAUAUUUAAUAUAUUAAAAAUCGUGAUAGAAAUAUAGAAAUAUUAAAUCACAAAUUACAAAAAUAGGGUAGAAAAAAUUCACGUGGCAAGCAUACAUGUAGAGAGGUAUAAUAUUAUUAAAAGGUUUCAAAUUGAGCAGAAAUGAUCCCUUUUACAGUAUUAAUGCAAGUAAGAGCAUACGCAUUGGAACCAAUAGCAAAGAUCCCCAAGCGAAGUGAGGCAAAUAAAGUGGAAGUUGGUUUACAUGUGCAAACAUGUGUGUGAUAUCUAGAAACAGUCAAUUUUAAUCUCAAUGCCGAGAAAGGUAUAUACCUAAUGGAAUACAUUGCAGAUUUCAAUAUUGGAGAGACAUCAAAUAAAGAUUUAGCCUAUACUAAACAUACAUACCUCUUACAAAUUGUAAAUUGGAUGGUAGCGUCGAUUCCAGCAAAUUAAAUUACACCUGCAAACAAUGAACAGCAAUGAAAUUAAAAAAUAAUCUAAGGAUAAAAAAGAAUUAAAUAAGUUAAAAACAUGAUCCAUUAAUGUAAUUUCUUCUUUCUUCCUCUCAUCAGGACAUCACUAGUACACAUUAUUAAUUAUAGUUCUAAAAUACUAAGUCCAUGCCAUAACAUGGGGGUGAUACCAAAAUGCAACUAAAACAAUUAUCGAGUCCAAUUAAAUUUAAUGCACUCAAGGUCAAAUUUAGAAUUGUUACCAGUGGUGAUACAUCGCUAAUAACAUUAAGAGCAAUGCAUAAACAAACAUCCACAACAGGUGCACAAUAAGCACUAAAGCAUUAAAGGUGAAAAAGUUGUAAAAAAAAAUAAAUUUUGAACGUAUUUGAUAAGAAAAAAAAGUUAAAGAAAAGAAAAUGAGAAAGAGAUGUCAACUAACUUAAAAUUAUGCAAAUUUUUAAAUAUUAUAUUUUUUAAUUUUUCAACUUUAUCAAAAAAAAAGAUAGAAAUAAAAAUUUAUAUUUUUUUAUUUAUUUUAUAUUUCUAUCCUUUUCAAUUAUUCAUUUUUCUGAUUUUUUUCCAAGUGAAAUUUACUACAUGUAUGCUUUGAUUUAGUACGAAUCAUAUUAAAAUAUAUAGAUAAAAUUUUAAAUAUAUAUUAUAACAUAUAGAAAUUAUUUGUACCAAUUAUAAAACACUACAUACCAAUUGAAAUCGGUUUGUCCAACACGACAACAACUACCAUUAAAUUAGAUUAACAUUGAAUCGCUCGUAAGCAUUAAAAAAACUGGAAAUAAGUAGUUAAAUCAAUUAAAAACCACCUAAAAGGGUUUUAUAUAAUGUUUUGGGUUAUUAUAUUAUUUUUUAUUUGUUUGGCCCAAUUUUAUGUUUAUUUGUAGCCCAAAUACACUGAUUUUUGCCAAAUACAACGAACUUUCUUGAGCUUCUGUCAACUCAAGCUGUUGAGCAAAGAUCUAACGACCCUGGCACAACAGGUGCACAAUAAGCACUAAAGCAUUAAACUCCUAUGGCACUAGGAGAACAUCAAGAUUAGGCAAGCACAAAAACAGCAAACAUCAUACUUAGAAAUAAAAACAGAAAGAUUAAAUUCCAAAGAAUUGCAGCAUAUUUUAACCUACUAACAAAUAUAAGUUGCCUUCCUUGCACACAAAUUUUCAUCAUACUUUUACAUCAUCCAAGACUUUGAAUAACUUAGAAGGUCAGAAUAAGUUCAUAUCACAGAUUAUACCAUCAGAAGGUAAAAACUGGAAAGUGUGAACUCAUUUAUAUCAGCAGCAAAUACUAAACUCAGCUGGUUACAAUUUGAGAUUAAGGCUUUUUGAACAUGCUUACCAUAAUUGCAAAUGAUACUGCUUCAAAAUCAAACAGAAAAUUGCAUAGAAAUUUUCAUGCUUUAUGCUAAUGCAAGCUUCAAAGACCAUAUAAGUAAAAAUAUAUCAAUAUAUCACAUAGAUUCAUUUCAGAAUAAAGUUGAUGGGAAUGUACAAGGCAGAAACCAAAUUGCCAAGAUUAGUAAAAAUCUUUAUUCAAUUUCUCUGUAUUCUACUAUGUCCAUCUCGAUACAACAACAAAUCAUAUAUAUAUUAAGUCAUUUAAGUAGCAAAACAAAAACGAGAACAUAUACGAAAGAUGAACAAAAAAGCAAGUCUUUAUGGUACACAAGAAGAAAUAAUCCAAAAAAGCGUACCCUUUAUCUUUCCCUUCUUCCCCUUCUUCCCCUUUCUCUUUUAUUCAGUAUCCGAAAGUAAAUAUGAUGAUGAAGUAGCAGGUGAAGCUGCUGCAGAAGAUUGUGAAUUCCUCCACCAGUAAUUUCUCUAACCCAGGUUUCAAUUCCCUGUUACUAAAAUCGAAAAGCAUCGAACCAAUAAAAUGAGAACCGAGAAGAAGAUGGGUGAAAUAGCUGAGUGAGGGUUUCGGCUUACCGAUUAGUUGCAGCAGAGGAGUGCGACAGUGACGCAACAGAUGGUCGAGUCGACGGCGAUGCAAUAGAUGGUCGGGUCCGGCGAUGGAGAGUUGGGUUGGGUUUGGAUUUGCUGAAAAUUUAGGGUUAGUGGAAAAAUUUUAGGGGAAAACACUUAAGCUUUUCGGGUAUGCUUUGGGGAUAAAAGGGUGGAAAAAAACGAUGUCGUUUAUGUGAAUUUAGGGGAAAACUAAUUUGGUGUUUUGGGGGAAAAGCAUAAGGCUGCCAGGCAUGAAAGAAAUGAAAUUUAACAAAUUAAAACGACGCCAUUUCGGCAAAAAAAUUUUGACCGUUUGCGGCGCUUUAGAAACGCGCCCGCUGCGCUUUAGAAACAUGCCGCUAAAAGCUAUCUAUUGCGGCGUUUCUAAAAAAGCGCCGCUAAUCUCCAACAAAAACGACGCCGUUUUCUUUAAGCACUAAUGUUCUUUAAGCGCUAAUUCCCUAUAUAUUCAACUAAAACGACGUUGUUUCCAUAAACUUUAAUUCUUUUUGCGGCGUUUUUUUAUAAAUGCCACUAAUCCCCUAUCCAACUAAAAUGACGCCGUUCUGUUAAACUAUAAACUUUUUCUUUAAACUAUACUGUUUUUUGCGGCGUUUUUUUGAAAAACGUCACUAAUCUCUUAAUUUUUAUAUUUUAUUUUUAUUUGUUAUAAUUUGGUAGCCAAAAUAAUUAACUUAUGAUAGUCAAUAUUUAAUAAUAUAUCUAUAUUGCAUGAUAACUUUGAAAUUUUAAGUUUAAAUUUCACUUAUAUAAAUUAAGUGUAGAGGAAUUAAUUUGAAUUGAAUUCUUCAUUCAAUUAAUUCUUUAGAUUAAUGAUUUUAAUUAUUAAUACUAAUGAUGAUAAAUGUUAAUAUGAUGAUAAUUAGUUAUAAUUUAAUCCUAAUAUUAUGAAUUAAAGUUUAAAAGAUUUAUCUCUUGCUGAUAUAUGGUACAUACUAAUCUUCUUCUUCUUUUUACAUUUUACGGAAGUAGAUAAUUUUUAGUUUUUAUCUUUUAAAUAUGCUUAAUAUUUAAUCCAUAUAUUUUAGUUUCUAAUAUAAUUUGGGUUCUAUAUGUUUAUAAUGUUAUUAAGUAGAUAUAGAUACCUAUCCAUAUCAAAUUUUGUUACUUUUUUUAUUUAUUUAUCAAUGUUUUUUUUUUUAAAUUCUAAUAAUUAUCAAAAUUUCAAAUGGUCUAGAUUAAAUAUUUUUAAUUAUAUAAAAGAAUUAAUUGAUUGUAUAAAAUUUCAUCAUUUAACAAAUUUCACGUAAACCUUAAAUCCUAAACCAUUUAAUAUAUAUAAAGUUUAUCUAUUAUCUCUGAAAUAAUCUAAACUAUAAUCAUAUAUAAUUUUAAUAUAUUAAGAUUAAUAUUAUCUCUUUUACAAUUAUAUAAGAAAUCGUUUAAUAUAUAAAUUAAAAAAUGAUAAUUAAUCAAAACCCUAAACCUCUAACCCCUGAUUGGUCUUUAAACCUUAAACCUAAACUCAAAACCCUAAAUCACAAUACAUAUACCUUAAACUCUAACCCUUAAACUAUAAACUCUUAACCCUUAACCAUUAACCCUUAACCCCUAAUCCUUAUCCCUUAACCCAUAAUUCUUAACUCCUAACCCCUAAAUUUUAAACUCCAUCUAUUAAACCCUAAAGUACCCUAAACUACAUAAUUCAUAACCCUUAAAAUAGUAACUCCUAAACCUUAAACACUAAACCAUAUACCCCAAAUCAUAAACACUAAACUAUAAUGAUAAUUAAUUCAAUAUUUUAAAAUUAAUAUUAUCUCUUUUAAAAUUAUAUAAGAAAAUAUUUAAUAUAUAAAUAAAAAAACAAUUAGUCAUAUACCAAUAAACUUUAAAUUAAUAGUAUUUUAAUAAAUAAUUUCCUAUGUUUUUACUUUUAAAAUUAUUCUACGUGUCAUUAUUUUUUUUAAGAAUUUAAAUAUUCAAUUAAAAAUAGAUUAUACUUUUAGCAGCGCUUCUUAAAAAAGGCGCUAAUGCUGACUUAUAGAGGCGUUUUUCAAAAAAACGCCGCAAAAGAUCGAUCUAUAGCGGCAUUUUGCAAGAAGGCGCCGCUAAAGCAACUAAAGCUAAAAAAACGACGCUGUUGUGUUUAGUUUUUUUGCGGCGUUUUUAAGAAGCGCCGCUAAAGCCACUAAACCUCAACAAAAAACGACGACGUUGUGUUCAUUGUUUUGCGGCGUUUUCUUUAAAGCACCGCUAACGGUCAACCUAUAGCGGCGUUUUUAGAAAAAAACGCCGCUAAUGCUCAUUUUUUAGUGGGUUUUUGUAGAAACGCCGCUAAAAACCUGUUUUGCUGUAGUGAAGGAUUAAGGAGGUUUUUGUUUAAAAUAGACAACCCCUUUACAUCCAAGAUAACCCUAAAAAAUCAAGCUUUUGUCCUUAAGUUGAUUUUAUCUACAAAAAUAGAAAAAUUAAAAAAAAACCUUAGAUCUCAAUUUUGAAAACAUCUGCCUUUUGAAGAAAAUCCUUUAAUCUAAGAUUGCUUUCAAACCGCUGUCAAUUAUUGAAAACAAAAAACAAACCUAAAAAUAAAAAAAGCUAAAUAAAAAAAACAAAUGAUUAACAGAAAGAGAUUCAGGUAAGUGGGGAUUAACAGAGAAAAGAAUCAAAGACUCAUAUUUUUUAGUUUUCAAGUUCUUAAACAGUUUAAGAAAAAAAAACUCAAAAACUCAAAUCAAACUUAAGUAUCAAAGAUCCAUACUGUUCAGUUUCCAAGAUGCUUGAAUCCUCCCCUAUGACAAUUGAUGCUUAUCUAGAGACGACUUCAAGCGUUUUGAGCUUUAUUUCCCCUCAACUCGAAAAAAAGAUGAAAAGUGAAAGUUUGGAAGAAAAUGGUGAAAGAAUAACAUCCCCUGGUUUUUGUUAAAUAUAAGCUUGUAAAUUUGUGAUUUUUUUUAUGGGUACACUGGGAAGAAAAAAAAUUUUAAGCUAUUCUUUGUAUUUGUUGAAUAGUCAUUCCAUAGGUUAAGUGCUGAAUGACCAUUCAGCGUUUUUAAGGAAUACUGUUGGAAUGAAGAUUAGUAUUUUGUAAACCAAACAAUAGAAUAGCUACCUUACUCGAAAUAGUCUCUGAAUAAAAUCACAAUUCCAUCCAAGCAAACAUAGUGUUAGUGUUUACUACUUAAUUCUCAGGGGAUUUACAGGUGAGUCUUCUAGUUUUUAGAUACAAAAUUGAUAUUCCAUACUUGGGGAGUAGUAGAGUGCGAUUCGCUUAUUGUAUUCUUUGUGUUUUUGUUUGCACAGUUUUUCACAGUGCCAAACCGUAAUGACCAAUUCCAUCAAGCACUUCCAUUAACUAUUGUAUUAUUCAGUAAGCAAUUAUACGUAGCAAUACCUUACAUAUAUUUGUUGAAAUAUAGAUUUUCAGGUCAACAAUUUCAUAACAAGGUUAACAAUGUUAUCUAAUUGGAUCAAUUUCUCGAUAUUCAUAAAAUACAAAGACGCUAAUUAUGAGUUGGGCGCUUUAACCAUUUAGCCAUAGAUGUUUAGCGGGGAUCCUCGUAUAUAGUGAAUAACCAAAUUCCAAUUAAAAUGAAAUCUUUAGGAUAAAUCAAUGCAAUUUAGGAGGAAUCAAUAAAAGGACAUCAAUUCAAAUCCUAGAUUUUCAAAUUGAGAGAGAUAAUAAAUUAAAGUAGAGAGAUUAAUUUUUCUUUGCUUUUAGCUUUAGUAUGGAAGAUUCAAAAUUAAAUAAUCAAAAGAAAUUUAAGUUUUGUAGACAAUUAUUAAAUAUGAGUUAUUGAGUUGAUUUCAUUAAGAACAAUAUGUAAACAUAAAAUAAAAUUUUAAAUUUUAAAAGGAGAUUAAUUUAAUUAAUUUUAAUAAUAUAGUAACAAAUCGAUUAAUAUUAUCAAGGGAUACAAAUUUUUCAACAAUUAAAUUUAAUUGAUUUUUAUGUUUUGAAAUUUAAAUUUCAAUAUUAAAAAAGAAGAAAUUUAGAAUUUUCGGCAAUGUGAUAAACAAGUACAAUUAGACACGUUUUCAAUACAUUUUUUAGUUUCUACUAUUUUUUCAGUUUAAUCCUUAAUCUUUUUACCCCAAUCAAUACCUUAAAAUAUGAUUUUUUUUUCUGUGACCAAAAUGAAAGCGACCUAAAAGUUGGGUGACCAAAAUAAAAUUGAGAACAUGAUAUAGCAUGUACAGUUAGCGCCAUUAGAGAUUUAACGGUUAGGUAACUAAAAUGAAAAUGCCUUAAAAGUUGAAUGACGAAAUUACAAAGAUUUCAUUUUCAAUAACCAAAAUAAAAACGCCUUAAAAAUUGAAUGACCAACUAAAUAGUUUACCCUAUAAUUUAAUGCAAAGUGAUUUCUAGUUUUAAGUGUACCUAAAUUUUAAUUAAAUCAUGUUUUGUGCUUAGUAAAUAUUUGAAGAUAAUAACUUGGAAUUCGAAUACCUAAAAUAUAAAACUCUUUAAACUAAAUAAAACCAAAUAAGGUAUCGUGUAUUAAGAAGCAUUAAUAUAAUGUUUUAACCGGCCUUGCAAUUGGAUGUAAUUUUUCAAAAUUUGAUUCUUCUACUUAACAAAAAUUAAAAAUUUAUUAGUAAACACAUAAUUUUUUUAUAUAUAAAUUAUUGAAUUGUUAUUAAAAAAAAUGUUGAAUUAUUGAUUUUUGUACAUUUGUUAUAUUGAGGCAAAGUGUGUUGCAAUGAGUUGAGUGGCACUCAACAAUAUCCGUUGCAAUCUACCACUCACAUGGGUAAGUUACUUUUCGUAUUUGAGUUGGCAAUUUAAUGAAGUAAAAUCUUUAAACAAGUUAUUUUGUUGAUAUUUUUAAGAUGCUAUAGUCCAUCUAUGGAAACCAAUCCGUGACAGUUAAAUAUUGGAUUGGAUUGGAUUGAAUUCGAGUGAAUCAAGACAACCCUUGUCUCAUGGAGAAUUGAUUGAGAUUGUGAUGUUGGUUUUGGAAGCUCAUAUAUUCAUCAGAUUAUGCUUUUAUUGAGUAUGUUGUAAUAGUUAUUUUCAAUGAGUUUAUUUGCAUUCAUUCAAUUAGUAUGUUAGCAAGUUGAGAUUGAUAUAUGUUGAGAGGCUUGUCUAGGUCAUGUAUGUGAAAAGAUUGAGAACACUAAAUUUGUUCAUUGAGGAAUUGUUUUGUGGGAGAGCGCAAAUUGAAUUGUAAACUUUUAGUGUUUAUUGCUUAAAUUAAAUUCUCAGUGUGAGCAUUUUAAGUUGAGAUCUCUAUACAUUAGGAGUAAUAGAGUGUGAUUCACUUGUAUUGUGGAAUAAGUAUAAUGGAAUAAUUCACUAAGUUAAACUCUACAGACGUAAGGACUGCAUAAAGAAACCUUGAUAUUCUUUGUGUUUUUGUUUGCAUAAUUUUUCGCAGUGUCAAGUCAUAAUAACUAAUUCCAUCAACUAUUGUGUUAUUAAAUAAACAAUUGUAGGUAACACAACACCUUACAUAUAUUUGUUGAAAUAUAGAUUUUCAGGUAAACAAUUUCAUAAUAAGGUUAAUAAUAGUAUCUAAUUAGAUCAAUUUCUGGAUCUUCAUAAAACAGAAAGACGGAUAAAUUAGAGUAGAGAGAUUUUUAUUUUUUUUUUAAAUUAUGAUCACACCUUUAUGAUAUUAAAUUAUAUAUAAUAUUGGUGAUUUCUUGAAUAUUAAGUAAUGGUGGUCUUCAUGUGUCCAUUUAGUGAUAGAGAGCUUAGUUUCCCUUCAUCUUGAUCUGGAAAAUAUAAAAUUGGAGAAAAUAUGGAACAAAUCUUCCUUUAAACUAAUAAGAAAAGGGUGAGAGAAUCUCGAUAACAAUAUGUAAUCAUCUAUUUCUCGUGCUUUAAUGAUACUUGAUCACAGUAACUACAUAGCUAGCUGUAUUUUAAAUGUUUUAUUAAGAUCUCAAAUCUUUGACUUUUCCUUUUCUUUUCUUUUGUUUUAUUAUUAUAAGAAUCGUGAUUGGCUUCUAAACUUUAAAUGUUCCAAUUAUAUUUUAACAUUAAAUAUCAGGCUAGAUCUAAGAUGUGAUUAAUUCAUACAUGAUUAAAAGAUGUACCAACCCAAAUCCAAGUUGGCAAGUCAGGUAAAGAUGACAGUUGAACCUAAUUAGAACGAUGCUCUAGUCUGAUAUUCAAUUGGACUUAAUGAUCUAAAAUUUGGGGUCAAUUUAAAUUUUGACUCAUAGUUUGAGGACAAAAUAGUUGAAUUAACCCUAUAAAUAAUUUCAAGCACUAAAAUAUAUGGCUUAAAUACUUGGUGCUUCCUUUAAAGCUAGGUUUCCACCAUUGUUGUAAGGCACACCAAGGAAGAAAGAGAGAAAAUAUGGCACCCAUUUCAUUACCCAACAAGCCCCAUGCAGUAUGCAUCCCCUACCCAGCACAAGGUCACGUAAAUCCGAUGCUCAAAGUGGCCAAACUCCUCCAUUUCAAAGGCUUCCACAUCACUUUUGUCAACACCGAGUACAACCACAAACGCUUGCUCAAAUCCAG